GCCCCGUUCGUCUAGCCCGGCCUAGGACACAGCCCUCUCACGGCUGAGACAGGGGUUCAAAUCCCCUACGGGGUA
rnacentral:tRNA from 1 species